UACAGAGGGUGCGAGCGUUAAUCGGAAUUACUGGGCGUAAAGGGUGCGUAGGUGGUUACGUAAGUUAGGUGUGAAAGCCCCGGGCUUAACCUGGGAAUUGCGCUUGAUACUGCGUGGCUAGAGUACUGUAGAGGAAGGUGGAAUUUCCAGUGUAGCGGUGAAAUGCGUAGAUAUUGGAAGGAACAUCGGUGGCGAAGGCGACUUUCUGGACAGAUACUGACACUGAGGCACGAAAGCAUGGGGAGCAAACAGG
rnacentral:rRNA from 1 species